rnacentral:rRNA from 1 species
CACACUGUAAACUAUGAGUACUAGGUGUAGGGGGCGAAGCCCUCUGUGCCGCAGUUAACACAUUAAGUACUCCGCCUGGGAAGUACGAUCGCAAGAUUAAAACUCAAAGGAAUUGACGGGGGCCCGCACAAGCAGCGGAGCAUGUGGUUUAAUUCGAAGCAACGCGAAGAACCUUACCAAGGCUUGACAUCCUAAGAAUCCUGAAGAAGUUCAGGAGUGCCUUUCGGGGAACUUAGAGACAGGUGG